rnacentral:rRNA from 1 species
UACGUAGGGUGCAAGCGUUAUCCGGAUUCACUGGGUUUAAAGGGUGCGUAGGCGGGCAGAUAAGUCAGUGGUGAAAUCCCCGAGCUUAACUUGGGAACUGCCAUUGAUACUAUUUGUCUUGAAUGUCGUGGAGGUUAGCGGAAUAUGUCAUGUAGCGGUGAAAUGCUUAGAUAUGACAUAGAACACCCAUUGCGAAGGCAGCUAACUACGCGAAUAUUGACGCUGAGGCGCGAAAGCGUGGGGAUCAAACAGG